AGUGAACGCUGGCGGUAGGCCUAACACAUGCAAGUCGAACGGCAGCACAGUAAGAGCUUGCUCUUACGGGUGGCGAGUGGCGGACGGGUGAGGAAUACAUCGGAAUCUACUUUUUCGUGGGGGAUAACGUAGGGAAACUUACGCUAAUACCGCAUACGACCUACGGGUGAAAGCAGGGGAUCUUCGGACCUUGCGCGAUUGAAUGAGCCGAUGUCGGAUUAGCUAGUUGGCGGGGUAAAGGCCCACCAAGGCGACGAUCCGUAGCUGGUCUGAGAGGAUGAUCAGCCACACUGGAAGUGAGACACGGUCCAGACUCCUACGGGAGGCAGCAGUGGGGAAUAUUGGACAAAGGGCGCAAGCCUGAUCCAGCCAUACCGCGUGGGUGAAGAAGGCCUUCGGGUUGUAAAGCCCUUUUGUUGGGAAAGAAAAGCAGCAGGUUAAUACCCCGCUGUUCUGACGGUACCCAAAGAAUAAGCACCGGCUAACUUCGUG
rnacentral:rRNA from 1 species